UGGAAUCCGUGAGGCCAAGAACCCCAGGUCAGAGAACACGAGGCUUGCCACCAUCUUGGAAGUGGCCCACCGCCAUCUUGGAAGUGGCUCGCCACCAUCUUGGGAGCUCUGUGAGCAAGGACCCCCGGUAACAUUUUGGCGAUCACAAAGGGACCUCCAAAGUGUUUGUCUCUUCCAGAAUUGAAACUGUAAAACUACAAAUGGUUCUUCAAAUGGAGCCCCAGAUGCAGUCCAUGACUAAGACCCACCGCGGAUCCCUGGACCAGCCUGCUAGCCCAUGCUCCAGUGUUAAUGGCAUCGAAGGCACCCCUCCCGAGGAAAUCUCAACUGCACAACCCCUACUAUGCCCCAAUUCAGCAGGAAGCAGUUAGAGCAGUCAUCAGCCAACUUCCCCAACAGCACUUGGGUUUUCCUGUUGAGAGGGGGUACUGAGAGACAGGACUAGCUGGAUUUCCUAGGCCAACUAAGAAUCCCUAAGCCUAGCUGGGAAGGUGACCACACCCACCUUUAAACAUGGGGCUUGCAACUUAGCUCACACCCAACCAAUCAGAGAGCUCACUAAAAUGCUAAUUAGGCAAAAACAGGAGGUAAAGAAAUAGCCAAUCAUCUAUUGCCUGAGAGCACAGCUGGAGGGACAAGGAUCGGGAUAUAAACCCAGGCAUUCUGGCCAGCAACAGCAACCCCCUUUGGGUCCCCUCCCUUUGUAUGGGAGCUCUGUUUUCACUCUAUUUCACUCUAUUAAAUCUUGCAACUGAAAAAAAAAAUGCAAGGUGAGAAAAUAGGUACAUUGCACACAAAUAUUUGUGUAAUAAAAAGGUGGGAUAAGAAUAUGAUAUAUAAUCAUAUUUAUUUGUAUUUGCAUACAGAAAAACUGAAAAGAGAUAUUAAAAACAAAAUCAUUUACCACCUAUGAGGUAGGUACGGG
rnacentral:lncRNA from 1 species